ACUGAAACCUUCCCGGGCGGCCACGUCUGGGCGUGGCUGUAAAAUCACAGCUUUCAUGGCACUUCUGUCCCGAUCGGACGGUAAUUGGUUGGUUAUUUCUGCCGGAUGGUCGAACAGGAUGAGCGCCCGCUUUCCGCCCACCGCUACUUGAGCUCUUUAAGCUAAAACUGGCUGCUCUCUGCUUUCAGGGAGUCCGCCCCCACCCUGCAGGGAUCUGCUAUAAUAGACCCCUGAAUAAAAACAUCAGAUAAACGUGACUUUGCUC